GCAGGAGACAUAAGAGACAAGGGUUUGAUCCCUAGGUUGGGAAGAUCCACUGGAGGAAGUGGGAUUUUCCUGGGAAAUCCCACGGACAGAAGACUGCUGGGCUACAGUCUAUUUCAGUUCAGUUCAGUCGCUCAGUCAUGUCCGACUCCCUGCGACCCCAUGGACUGUAGCACGCCAGGCCUCCCUGUCCAUUGCCAACUCCUGGAGUUUACUCAAACUCAUGUCCAAUGAGUAGGUGAUGCUAUCUAACUAUCUCAUCCUCUGUCGUCCCCUUCUCCUCCUUCCUUCAAGCUUUCCCAGCAUCAGGGUCUUUUCCAAUGAAUCAGUUCUUUGAAUCAGGUGGCCAAAGUAUUGGAGCUUCAGCUUCAGCAUCAGUCCUUCCAAUGAAUAUUCAGGACUGAUUUCCUUUAGGAUUGACUGCUUUGAUCUCCUUGCAGUCCAAGGCACUCUCAAGAGUCUUCUCUCCCUUGGCCCUAUUCAACCACCUCCACCCUCCAGCAUUUGAGGUGCACAGCAGUAGGAGGGUUUCCCACACAGACGAGCCAAGGAACCCUGUUCAGGAAGAUACUGACAUUCCCUCCAGGGGGAAACAAGCUCAGAAAAUGUCACUCCCUAUAUCCCCCGCGGCUGCUUCACACGACCAUCAACAUCCCAAAGCGAUGUCCCUUCACUCUGUUUAACCCAGGACUCGCCACCGUUUGCCCAUCUCACUUGGCCUGGCUUUAGUGCCUGCAGGGCAGCGCCUGACCAGUGCGCUUGGACUUGAACGUGAACUUCAGGGGAGCUGGCCAGGCCUGGCCGCCCCAGGGGCUUGCCUGCCUCUCCGCUGUUACCACCGAACCGACUGUGCCUGGACCUUGGAAAAGUCUGGCAUCAUUUCCCUCACUUGCCUGAAAAGAAAAAAAGAGAACAGCCCCGAGGCUGCAAGUUCCGCUGCUGGUUUCGGGGAAUCGGAAGGAAAGAGUUCGCCAAGCUUCCGCCGGCUCAGUGGCUGCGCGGAUGCCCGCGAGCCUCCCCGCGGGCC
rnacentral:lncRNA from 1 species